GCACUACUGAGGAUUCCCAUAAUAGGACGAAACGGCCUUCCAGUGC
rfam:Schistosoma mansoni, Puerto Rico, WGS project CABG01000000 data, contig: 0013